rnacentral:rRNA from 1 species
AACGUAGGAGACAAACGUUAUCCGGAAUUACUGGGCGUAAAGGGCGCGUAGGCGGCCUGUUAAGUCGAACGUGAAAUCCCUGGGCUCAACCCAGGAACUGCGUCCGAUACUGGCAGGCUUGAAUCCGGGAGAGGGAUGCGGAAUUCCAGGUGUAGCGGUGAAAUGCGUAGAUAUCUGGAGGAACACCGGUGGCGAAGGCGGCAUCCUGGACCAAAACUGACGCUGAAUAGCGAAAGCCAGGGGAGCAAACGGG